CCUGAUCGCAGCUAGGAAGCGGAUUUGGUAGAGGUACUCAGUUGGCUGCUUUUGUUGUUCUAUAACUUAGAUUCCCAAGAUAGGAAUAUGUGAGUUAACAUCACACUCUUCUUUGAAAGUACCACUAGGUUAUUUCUAAUCUACAUCAUGGAAGCAAAUCCACAACUAUGUAAUGCACCUUGAUGAACCUUGAUGAAGAUUCAGGUCGAAAU